ACGCACGCUGGCGGCAUGCCUAACACAUGCAAGUCGCACGCGACCUUCGGGUCUAGUGGCGCACGGGUGCGUAACGCGUGGGAACCUGCCCUUAGGUUCGGAAUAACUCCCCGAAAGGGGUGCUAAUACCGGAUAAUGUCUUCGGACCAAAGAUUUAUCGCCUUUGGAUGGGCCCGCGUUGGAUUAGCUAGUUGGUAGGGUAAAAGCCUACCAAGGCGACGAUCCAUAGCUGGUCUGAGAGGAUGAUCAGCCACACUGGGACUGAGACACGGCCCAGACUCCUACGGGAGGCAGCAGUGGGGAAUAUUGGACAAUGGGCGAAAGCCUGAUCCAGCAAUGCCGCGUGAGUGAUGAAGGCCUUAGGGUUGUAAAGCUCUUUUACCCGGGAUGAUAAUGACAGUACCGGGAGAAUAAGCUCCGGCUAACUCCGUG
rnacentral:rRNA from 1 species